rnacentral:rRNA from 1 species
GCCUACGGGUGGCAGCAGUGGGGAAUAUUGGACAAUGGGGGCAACCCUGAUCCAGCCAUGCCGCGUGAGUGAUGAAGGCCUUAGGGUUGUAAAGCUCUUUCGCCGGGGACGAUAAUGACGGUACCCGGAGAAGAAGCCCCGGCUAACUUCGUGCCAGCAGCCGCGGUAAUACGAAGGGGGCUAGCGUUGUUCGGAAUUACUGGGCGUAAAGCGCACGCAGGCGGCGCAUUAAGUCAGGGGUGAAAGGCCUGGGCUCAACCCGGGAACUGCCCUUGAGACUGAGACGCUGGAGUACGGAAGAGGGUAGUGGAAUUCCCAGUGUAGAGGUGAAAUUCGUAGAUAUUGGGAGGAACACCGGUGGCGAAGGCGGCUACCUGGACCGAUACUGACGCUGAGGCGCGAAAGCGUGGGGAGCAAACAGGAUUAGAUACCCUUGUAGUC